rnacentral:pre_miRNA from 1 species
AGGAGGACCAACCACAGUGGCGGCGGCCAGCUCUGGAGCCCUGGAUUCAGCUCCUGCAGUAGCUACAGAGCUCUCUGUCUGCAGGGCCUGGAGGCUCCGGGCGGGG